GGACUACUGGGGUAUCUAAUCCCGUUCGCUCCCCUGGCUUUCGCGCCUCAGCGUCAGAUCGGGUCCAGCGUGCCGCCUUCGCCACCGGAGUUCCUGUGGAUCUCAACGCAUUUCACCGCUCCACCCACAGUUCCGCACGCCCCUACCCGCCUCGAGGCCGCCAGUAUCCAUGGCCGUUCCCCGGUUGAGCCGGGGGAUUUCACCACGGACUUGGCAGCCCGCCUACGCGCCCUUUAAGCCCAGUGAUUCCGAACAACGUUCGCACGGUUCGUCUUACCGCGGCUGCUGGCAC
rnacentral:rRNA from 1 species